rnacentral:misc_RNA from 1 species
UUGUGAUAUACUGUUCUGCAAUGCAAAUAGUAUGUUAAAAAUCAGAUAGUUACUGAGACCUUUUAGUAUUGCAGCAUUGCAUGCUAUCAUGGGAAACUGUAGCAUCAAUCUUCCAGCAGGGGAUCAGAUGCGUCUAGUUGCUUUUAACUAGUCCUGAUGACUCCUUGCUUGGAGGAUGAACUUGUUCAACUUGGUUUAUCACCACUGUCUAUGACAGUGAUGACAAAAUCACUGUUUAACUUUGCUUAAAGAUUUCGAACUUCCUUCACACAGAGUUGUUUCUCGCCUGUGAAGUUACGUUUUAACUUUAGC